GCGCUCGUGGUGGAAUUGGCAGACACGCAGGAUUUAGGUUCCUGUGCCUUCGGGUGUGCGGGUUCAAGUCCCGCCGAGCGCA
rnacentral:tRNA from 4 species